rnacentral:misc_RNA from 1 species
CUUCACAACCGGUCGGUCGCGUCGCGCAACCAAAAUUUUAAAAUAAAAACAAUUAUUCCGUAAUUACAAAUGUUUUAAGUGUAAAAAAGUUUUGUAUUUGUCAAUCCACCGCUAUUUUGUGUUAACAGCUGUCAAUUUUGAGGUUGUCAUUGGAUAUGUUCAAAGGUGCUUUUUAGAUCAAAGUGAUUUAAGUGUCAAGUGAUAAUAUAGUGAAAUAAAGAAAAUGGCGGGUUUCAAGUUGCUGCUGUGUUUAAGUUUACUUCAAGCUGUUUAUGGAAAAGGUUCGGAGUCGGCGAUACAAUGCACGCCGGAGGUGAUGAAGGUGACUGUCCCUAUGGAUGGAGACAGGCGGAUGUCAUACCUCGACCAGUUGAAAGACUACAAGCCGUGCAUGCCGUACAUGGAAGACAACGCCGCGACCUUCAUGCUCGACCUUCAAGACCCUCACAAAUGUGGGGUGACCAGGGUGCUUAAUAAGAUUACUGGCAAGAGGACGUUCUACCACAAGAUAGUGAUAGAAGAUACGGCUGGCGGGCGCGAGACAGUGACGGUGCGAUGUGUAGUGACAGGCAAGCUGCGAGCGCUGGCGAGGAGAGCUGUUGACAGCUUCCCAUUAGACUUCAAUGAACCUGAAACUCUAAACAUCACGAGAUAUGAAGAAGGAAAAGCCCCGGAGCCAAUCCUUGGUGCUGUCGUGAAACAAAAUGGAAAACAGGUGUCUGGCGAGAUCUCAGUUAGUCCCGGAACUCCUCUGUCGAUGGAGAUCUUCCUGGACAACGCGUCAGCUCCGGUGUACGGGCUUCAAGUCAGCUACAUGCACGUCACUGACACUGGCAAGCAGCAGGAGACUAUCAUAUUUAACGGAUGCUCAGUGGACCCGUAUUUGUUCGACAACUUCGUAACAACCGACGGGGAUGUGCUGUCGGCCAAAUUCCGCGCGUUUAAGUUCCCAGACACCACCUACGUUCAGUUCAAGGGAACUGUUACUGUAUGUCUGGAUAAAUGCCAGGGGGUACAAUGCAGCAAUGGCGCCACGGGGUACGGCAGGCGGCGGCGAGCCAUCGCGACCGGGGCCGACACCAACAAGGUGUAUGAAGUGUCACUGACCACCUUCAUCAAGGUCGAUUGGACCGAUGGGGACAGAGAAGCCGAAGAUGUACUGGGUCUCCUCAAGAACCUGAAGGUAGCCAACCAGAGGCUCGGCGAUGCCGAUGGCACGGUUGCUACGGUUGCUGAGACCACGCAGAAUAUCAAACCAGCUGUGCAGGAGCCCAUAAGCCAAGCGCAUACCACCACAAUUAGUCUACUGGCUCUGAUUGCUUGCUUAACACUUGCCUUGGUCAAGUAAAUUAAAAAAAAAUCGGACAAAAAAAUACAUAUUUUCCAAAUGACUGACAUUUGUCUAAAAAAAACAAAGUGAACUGAAAACAUCGAACUUUUUUUUUAAUGUAAACGAAAAUAUUAUUAUAGGCAAACCGCUGAAUAUUAUAAUUAUGACACUUUUUAACUGAUUUCACAAUAAUUGAAAUCAAAACCAGCAAAAGCAUCUGCAUGUAUAAUAACCUGCCGUCGCGGUACGGUAUUCGAGUCGCGUCCUGCGCGACAAACUAAUAUCGAUAAACAAGCAGUUGAUUUUUCUAAAUUUGAAUAGCAAAUUGAACAGUUUUCUACAAAAUUCAUAAUUUACAGUUUAAUGAAAUUUUAGUCGGAUGACUUGAGUUAAAAAUUGACAAUUAAAAUUGGAGUUUUGUUUUAAAGCUUUUAUAACGUUAAAACGAACGACUUUACACAUAUAACAAAACGGGGCUCCCGCGGCCCUGUUCACCAAAAAAAAAAAAACAAAAAAAUAGCUACAUAAACAAUAAUAAGAUAUUAAUAAGAAACGUCUUAUACCGCAGCGGUUUGUUAAUAAAUCAAAUCAAAAUCUUUAUUUGUGAAUACAGCCGGGUGGGUCUGCAUGACAACCGAGCCGCGCAUGGCGCGAAUUAUAUUGAGCGCUUUUACCAAUAACGAUACGAAUGUUAUCUACGUAGAUGGACGUCAAACGGCUAUUGGUCGAAGGCCUCAAUAUAAAUCGCGUCGCGCGCGGCGCGGUUACCGUGCAGAGCCUACAGGUAUACAAAAGGAUGUUACAUAAAAUUAUUACAAUCUCUGUAUUCAGCCUGUUAGUAGGCAUACAAAUAGUGGCUUAUUAUUUAAGUACACAAUAUUAAAUGAAAAAAAAUAUACAAUAGGAUUUUAAGAAAGCUUUAAAACUCCAGUUUUCAUUACCAAUUUUUUAUAAUGAAUUAUAUUUUUUUAUAAUCCUAAUACAAUAUUAAUUACUCUCCAAAUACUAAUAAAUAAAAGAAUUUAAAAAUAAGAAUAUUUCUACACAACAGAUGCGUGACGAAAAAUAUUUUAGAAUACUUAAUGAAAUUGGUAGUUUCCAACUAGUCAAAUCAGUUACUUUUUACUAAACGUCAAAACACGAAAUUUGUACGAAAAAAGAACCACUGACGUCAUAAAAAAACGUGACAAAAUGUCGCAAUUAUUAUUAAUUUUUUCUUUGUUAAAACUCAUAAAUAAGUUGAAUAGAAAAAAGAAAACGAUUUGUCAGCUUUAGAUCUGUCUUUAUUUAGUAAUCAGAAUUUCAUAAUUUAUCUUUGACCUCGGAAACUACCCAACUAUAAAUAUGCAAUUACUUCCAUACCUUCCAUACCAUAUUUUAAUUAGGUAAACUUCUUUGUAUCAUAACUCAUUUUACAGGCGCCCUUAACUUCUAAUUUGAAUAAAAUCAUAAAUUUAAUAUUUAAAACUUAGCGCUCUAUUCUCCCAGACUACCUCGAAAGGGACAUAGCGCGAAGAUCUCAAAAUUUCAAAAGUACCUAUUUGGAGUUAUUCUUACCAGAUCAAAAAUAUAAUAUUUACUUAAGUACUAACUGUAUUUAGAUUAAUAUUAGUUUUAAUUCAAAGUGAUGUAUAAUUAAUUAACUAUGAUAUAAGUGCCUUUUGUUUUAACUGUGAAGCCAAAACAGACAGACAUCUUUUUAAAUAUUAACGAAAAAUAUAUUACUGUAAUAACCACGGAAUAUAAGAAAAAGGUUGGAAGGGCCAUGUGUGAACAAAUAAUUCAUACUUCUACUUGGCACUCCAAUCGUCCGCAAACUUUACGACGCACGGAGCUCUGCUAUAGUAUAUUAAGGUCUUGUGCAUUUUCACCUGCAGGGCAAAACAUCAAAUAUCGACUAUCGUGCAAGGAGAUCUCUCCUUAUCACUACUCCUGAAAGCUAAAAUUUUAGUCAUCAUCAUCAGCCCAUAAACGUCCCCACUGCUGGGGCACGGGCCUUCCCUAUGGAUGGAUAGGGAGAUCGGGCCUUAAACCAUCACGCAGGCCCAGUGCGGAUUGAUGGUUAUUAACGACUGCUAAUGCAGCCGGGACCAACGGCUUAACUUGCCUUCCGAAGCACGGAAGAGCUCGAGAUGAAAACUUUUUUUUUGUGGUCACCCAUCCUAUGACCGGCCUUUACGAAAGUUGCUUAAGUUCAACAAUCGCAGACCGAGCGCGUUUACCGCUGCGCCACCGAGCUCGGCUAAAUAUCAAAAAAUACUUUUGUAAGUAGUAUGCAGUAUCUUACAUAAUUAUGCAAUCUUCUUCUACAACAGUAUCAACAAUUUAUUCUAUAAGUAGCAUACUAUAAGGUGCAUAAAAUACAAUGUAAUUUUGUGACCUUAACGACCAAUUUUUUGGAGGUUAAAAAUGGCAAUAUUCAUUGAGGAAUUGCUUCAAUAUGGCCUUUUUUUCUCCCCCUAACUUACGUCACUUUAGCACCAAUUCUGUUUUGGCACCAUUUUGGCACUAAUAAAAAUAAAAUGCUAACGCAUUCCAACCCGCUAGUCUUAUGAUAAAAUACUUUACACUUAAGAAAUAGAAACAAAUGAUAGUUAAGCGUUCAUCGCGAAAAUAAGUCAAUGCUAUCUCACUCCCACUUACACGAUUUGUCAUAGACAGAAAGAGACAAAUGAACUUUACAAGUAUUUCCUUAAAAAUACCGAAUAUGAACUUAUUUUCGUGGUUCUUCACCCAUCUGAUGAAAUUGAAAGUAUUUAUAUUGGCCAUACGUCUUUUUAGAUAUUACUUUUAAGAUAUUUUGGUGUAUAAAUAAGACUUUCUUGUAUUAGUUGUGAAAUGAAGACAAAUUUGACUUGUUCUAUCAAUUAAGAAUAAUAUACCUACAGUUAGUGAAAUCGUCAUGGGAGGUGAAGGUUUUGGCGGGAAGAAGAGAGGAAUGGCGAUUACUCCACCGACAAGAGCGCAGCUCUUAAAUAGAGAGA